CAAGUGCCUACGGUGAAACAGAAUCAACAAGGUCUUGGGUGAGGACCCACUUUCUCCAGAGAGAGGUCCUGAUAAACCAUCAGGUGCUUGCUGCAAUGGAGGACCUUAUGUCUCUAUACACAACAUGGGGCUCGAACUCACAAUGCCAAG